CUGCUAAGUCGCAAGACGAUGUAUAGGAGCUGACGCCUGCCCGGUGCUGGAAGGUUAAGGGGAUCUGUUAGAGCAAUCGAAGCAGUGAACUUAAGCCCCAGUAAACGGCGGCCGUAACUAUAACGGUACUAAGGUAGCGAAAUUCCUUGUCGGGUAAGUUCCGACCCGCACGAAAGGCGUAACGAUUUGGGCACUGUCUCAA
rnacentral:rRNA from 1 species